CACAGAACCGAAACCGAGAGGAGGAGAAAAAGAAAGGAGAAGAAGAAGAAGUCGCCGCCGUGCAUAAUCCUUUUGUUCCGCCGCCGUCCGUCGCCGACCGCCCUCGCCGUUGUUCCUCGUCGCCGUCUGCCACUUUAGAAAUAGGAAAGGAAGAUGAAGUAUCGGGAAAUAUUGGUUCUGGUUCUAUGUUUGCUUGGGUUUGUUCUUGGAGCGGUGUUUGAUACAGUAGUCGGGGAAAUUGCAAUUAUUACGAACUGAACCAAGUUCCACAACAGGGCUGAUCAUAGUUCCGCCAGUUGAAGAUUCAAAAUCCACGUGUUGGGUGUUCUUGAUAUUGCUUGUAGAAUGAUUGAAGUCAUAUCAAACUCAAAACUAAACAAUUGUGUAGAAAGUCAGACGAUCGUUGAAGGUUUGAGAAGGCGUUUAAGAUUUCUUAUUUAAGUUUUGUAUUAGGAUCUUGUUUCAUGUACCGUUGUAGAAUAUAUAAACAUAAUAUAAGAUUCCAUUUUGUGUAUACAAAUGUAAAAGACAAAUAUUAUAGUUUCUAAAAUAAUAUUAAUUUUAUUGA